GGGUGAUGAAGGCGUUCGGGUCGUAAAGCCCUGUCGGGAGGGAAGAAAUGAUUGAGAGCUAAUACCUCUUGGUCUUGACGGUACCUCCGAAGGAAGCACCGGCUAACUCCGUGCCAGCAGCCGCGGUAAUACGUAGGGGGCAAGCGUUAUCCGGAUUUAUUGGGCGUAAAGCGCGUGUAGGCGGCUUGUUAAGUCAGAUGUGAAAACCGGGGGCUCAACCCGCGGCUUGCAUCUGAAACUGGCAGGCUUGAGUCUGGUAGAGGAAAGUGGAAUUCCUAGUGUAGCGGUGAAAUGCGCAGAUAUUAGGAGGAACACCAGUGGCGAAGGCGGCUUUCUGGGCCACGACUGACGCUGAGACGCGAAAGCUAGGGGAGCGAA
rnacentral:rRNA from 1 species